AUUGAACGCUGGCGGCAGGCCUAACACAUGCAAGUCGAGCGGAUGAAGAGAGCUUGCUCUCUGAUUCAGCGGCGGACGGGUGAGUAAUGCCUAGGAAUCUGCCUGGUAGUGGGGGACAACGUUUCGAAAGGAACGCUAAUACCGCAUCCGUCCUACGGGAGAAAGCAGGGGACCUUCGGGCCUUGCGCUAUCAGAUGAGCCUAGGUCGGAUUAGCUAGUAGGUGAGGUAAAGGCUCACCGAGGCGACGAUCCGUAACUGGUCUGAGAGGAUGAUCAGUCACACUGGAACUGAGACACGGUCCAGACUCCUACGGGAGGCAGCAGUGGGGAAUAUUGGACAAUGGGCGAAAGCCUGAUCCAGCCAUGCCGCGUGUGUGAAGAAGGUCUUCGGAUUGUAAAGCACUUUAAGUUGGGAGGAAGGGCAGUAAGUUAAUACCUUGCUGUUUUGACGUUACCAACAGAAUAAGCACCGGCUAACUUCGUGCCAGCCGCCGCCGUAACAC
rnacentral:rRNA from 1 species